rnacentral:tRNA from 1 species
GGGAGAGCGAAGAACGGUUCGAGUGGGCUCAUAACCCGAAGGUCACGGGUUCAAAUCCCGUCCCCGCCA